rnacentral:lncRNA from 1 species
UUACUCUUCCGGAUGCUUCCAAGAUGAUUCUAUGUUCUGUAAAUUAAAGGUAACUAUUACAUCAGUCAAGCUGACUCUGAAAACACACCUAGAGAGCAUUCUGGGAAAUAGCCUAGGAACCAAUUUCACUCUCUUGGUGUCCUUUCCCCCUUUACUCUCAACUGUAAUAACUUAGGGAGCAGCAGGUUUCCCAUUCUGAGCUCCUUGCCUCCCACUCAUCCUCAAUCAGCCUACAAUACUGCUAUCUUCAAAGUGCUAUUCCUCCUUGUGAUGGUAAGCACCCUUGAUUGGUGUUGUAAACUAUGAAACUACACUGAUCAAACAGCAGAUGAGAAAAGGAGGCACAUACCAGCUUCCUGCAUGCAACCUUUCUCAGCUCAUCAAGGCUGGAGUUUCUGAAGGGCUCCAGAAACCCAGAUAUUUCCUUUGAUUGUUGCUGCUAAGAUGAAAGCUAGCACACAGCAAAUUUUGGAUUCAACGCCCACAGUCCCUUCUUCCUUCACUGCAAGACCCACAGUUCUUGGAACGAUUGAUAAGGAACGCGUAAGCCAACUGUGGCAAUUCUAAAGAAAAUGAUGGCUCUCUCUGUUUGUCUUGUUAGGAGUUUAAGGCUCAGAAUUGGUUAAGAAGAAUAUGUUAUUCAUCUCUGGGUGGGACCUUUGUCAUCUCAAUCAGAAAAAGGUUUUUUCCACUGUUCUGACCUGCAUGAUUUCUGUAUUUUGAGAAUCCUGUAAGAUUUUGUUCUGUAUGCUAUGGCCACACUCUGAUCUGCAUUUACUCCUAGACCUAAUCAUAUGAAUCCUCACUUUAGUAACUUUUGGGAGACUAAUCUAUGCCCCAGGCCAUGCACACCAGUACUCAGAGAGGAGUGAUUAAAGAGAUAGAUGGACUAGGCCGCUCUGGAUAGUCUCAAUGCCACCCUGGCAAGUAAGCCCAGUGAUUCAGAUGUUCAGGCUGCUUUGAGAUCCACAGAUGUGAACAUUCAGGUAAGCAAGAUGGCUUGGACUGGAAAGGCUAACUUAUUUGCUCUCUCUUCCCAGCUUGUGUUCUUGGCAUUGACCUCAUAUUUGGCAGUAGAGAGUGAACUAAUAAACUUUUACACUGAUGCUUGCUUCUGGGAGUGACAAAAGCUCAUGUUAAUCCCUCUUGUUGGAAAGAGAAAAGGAGCCAAAAAGCCAAAGGCACCCCAUGUUUUCUAAUGGAAGAAACAUGACAUGGGCAGGCAUUAUGCAUUGUGACAGGGUAUGGUCAGCAGGCCUAUUUGCCCUGUGUUGAUGGACUUUUGUUCUUGGAGCAAACCUUUUGGGAAAGAAUUUCCAAAUUCCUGACUUAGACAAUAAAAAUCAAAUGAUGAAUUUUCAUUUGCAUUGGGAAAAUGUUGCUGUUUUUAAUGGUUUCCCUUUGAGUCUGCAAUCGUAUGUUUCUGCUAAUAUCUUUGAUUCAGAUCUCAUGCGGGCUUCUAUAAACUUCGUUGAGAGUUCCAUCUGUCAAGACAUUGUUAAGUCAUCUCAGUCUCUUUAGAAGUAGUCAUUGUUUCCUGGCCUGAAUCUGCAAGGAUCCCCAGUGAUGACAGGAGCUUGGCAUACACUGACCCUUGCAUGGUCUGGCAGGACUACAAUGUAGAGCAAGCUCCAAAGAGGAGGGCUUUGGGUUGGAAUAUCACCAUGAAUGUGUGAGGACAAUAGCCUUUGUGUGCAGCACACAUGAUUCUGUGGAGACAAGGAAGGACAGAAUGGCUCUAAUGUUUCCUACAAACAAACAAAUUUUGCAUGGAAUUAUGGCUGUUUAUGUUGCUCAUACACUGCAGAGCCAUGCAUGAAGAACUAAUAUGCUGGGUAUAGUUUCUACAAUCCCCAAAGUA